rnacentral:rRNA from 1 species
GACGAAGGUGGCGAGCGUUGUCCGGAUUUACUGGGCGUAAAGAGCGCGCAGGCGGCCAAGUCAGUCGAAUGUGAAAGCCCCCGGCUUAACUGGGGAGGGUCAUUCGAUACUGCUCGGCUCGAAGACAGGAGAGGGAAGUGGAAUUCCCGGUGUAGUGGUGAAAUGCGUAGAUAUCGGGAGGAACACCAGUGGCGAAGGCGACUUUCUGGCCUGUUCUUGACGCUGAGGCGCGAAAGCUAGGGGAGCAAACGGG